AAGACUAUGCUUUCAGGGAUCAUUUCUAUAGUUUCUGACUUGGAAGUUUGAUUUGAAAGUGUAACGUCUCUCUAACCACGAUGACGAGUUAAGAUGCUUUCUUCUGAGCGUGAAUCGGGUGGUGAGCGACGAGCGAGAUUGUCUGCUCUCUGUCAUUGAUGAACGUUCCUGCUGUGCUUUGCAGUCUGUAAGAAGAAAACAUGUUCAGAGUGGU
rnacentral:snoRNA from 1 species